UUCCUGACGAACGUUCCCACUCUGAGCGCUCAGUGAAUGCUUCUAGAAUAACUGAACCACACAUCUAAUAAAGGAGUUUCAGUGAAUAUUAGCGACGGCACUAAGAAGAAGACAAGAUGCCUGUGCCGGGGGCUGUCCGCUCCCUUUCGUCUUCCACCCGCUGGAACCUUCUGGCAAGAAGGGGAGAAGAAUGACAAGAGCAAACAUUGUUAUCCUGGGAAGCACAUAAGAGGCUUAAGCUUCAUGCCUUGAUGCAACGAGGCAGGACGGGUUGGGAGCCGGCAGAAGACAUAGCACCGUGUCAUUUCUGUGUCUAGAAGGAAAGGAUAUUUGCACUGCCAGGUGGACUGUUAAAGCUGAACUCUCAGGAGCAAGAGACUAGCCCCAGUGAGCUAGUCAGGCUUUCCUGUACCCCAGCGGAC
rnacentral:lncRNA from 1 species